GCAAAGCUGCCUAGGUCAGCACUCUUGUCUAUGUGCUCUCCAAAGGGCAGACAGAGUUAACUCAGUUUUUUUUUUUUUAAUCUUGAACAUUUUGGAGACACUGCUGAGCAAUUUGGGAACUGGAGAAAAUACAUAAAUAGGUUUCUAGGUUGCUAUUAAUAGCUCUGUUCGUGCUGUGUUUCUUGUAUAGCUAUGGCUUCCGUAUCCAUAGCUGGCUGCCUGCUGACUCAAAAUCAGUAUUAUCGAAAAUCCAGUAUUUGUUCAGUAAAUUCUUCCUCUGGCUCUGAUCCUGUAAACUUCACAGACAUGGAGAAAGCCCAUCCAGGUUUACCUGAAGAAGCUGAAUCAAACUGGUGGUUCAAAUCCUUUUUCCAUUCAGAUCCUGUCCCUCCAGAUAAAGAAAGGAAAGAUUUGUUUAUUAUUAGCAUUAGUAGUUAAUUCCAACAAUCAAGCUGCCUCUGCCUGUUAUAACACAUUCGUAUCCCUAAAUAUUAAUGAUAUUCCAGAUGACCAUACUCCAUGGCAGUGAGGCAAUAACUAUUUGAAACCUCAGUUGGGAGAAGAGAUAACAACAUUAGAAGGAACAAUGAUAAUUCAAGUCAUAUUAUUCUAUGCUGAAGCUGUCUCUGCACAUAUCAUCAGCAGCAUAAAGAACAG
rnacentral:lncRNA from 1 species